AGCGGGGUGGGGAAGCCAGACUCUUUAGGGCUAGGUCAUCCCGGCGGGCUCAUAACCCGCAGUUCAGUAGUUCAAAUCUACUCCCCGCUA
rnacentral:tRNA from 1 species